ensembl:lncRNA PWRN1 Prader-Willi region non-protein coding RNA 1
GCAGAGGCCGUUCAGGGGGUAUUCUGGUUGCCUUACCCAGCUCUGAAGUCUGUCAGCCUCUUCAGAUGUCACUUGCCCUGUGGUAAGGAAGUGUAGUUGGCAGCUGGUGCAGUGGCAAGAAGAGAAAGGAAGUUCCCCAAGACAGAAACAUCUCGGCAGGUUUGGAAUAGUUCACCAGUGAAGUCAUCUCAACCAGCACAGGGCCUUGACUCCUAACAACAAUCACACGAACUUGGAAGAGGAUCCUUCCCCAGCUGAAACUUCACUUGAGACCUUCUCAUUGGCCAUCAUCGACAUCUGGAUUCAUGAUACAGAGAAACUUGAGUAAUGAUGACAAUAGCAGUCCAGCCUGCAUGGAUGCUGACAUGGAUGCUGUCUCCCAUUCUUACCACUGGAUGUCAAGAACUGCUAGAUGCGAUCCAGCCAGUCUGUACUCGACUCUCAGUUCCAUCUUCUCAACUCACAGUGUCUUCCAAAGUCCAUGCCACACCACAGCCUGGAAGAUCUCCCAAGGUGGUAUCUUGAGGCAAUGGUAGAGCUCAUGUCACAGUAUUGUAUGCCUCAGGUAUCACUGUCCUUCACUCUUUGAUAUAAUCUCUCUACAAACCAUUGUUCCAUACACUUUGCCCCUUUUGUGUUUGUUUAUACAUGUGGUAUGGCAUGUCUAAACCUCACAGUGAGGAUAUUAGAAUAGGGUUCUGCAUA